AACGAACGCUGGCGGCAUGCCUAACACAUGCAAGUCGAACGAGACCUUCGGGUCUGGUGGCGCACGGGUGCGUAACGCGUGGGAACCUGCCCUUAGGUUCGGAAUAACUCCCCGAAAGGGGUGCUAAUACCGGAUAAUGUCUUCGGACCAAAGAUUUAUCGCCUUUGGAUGGGCCCGCGUUGGAUUAGCUAGUUGGUAGGGUAAAAGCCUACCAAGGCGACGAUCCAUAGCUGGUCUGAGAGGAUGAUCAGCCACACUGGGACUGAGACACGGCCCAGACUCCUACGGGAGGCAGCAGUGAGGAAUAUUGGACAAUGGGCGAAAGCCUGAUCCAGCAAUGCCGCGUGAGUGAUGAAGGCCUUAGGGUUGUAAAGCUCUUUUACCCGGGAUGAUAAUGACAGUACCGGGAGAAUAAGCUCCGGCUAACUCCGUG
rnacentral:rRNA from 1 species